rnacentral:rRNA from 1 species
UCGUAACAAGGUCUCCGUUGGUGAACCAGCGGAGGGAUCAUUAAGGAGUUGAUAACGCGGGAAACUCUCCGAACCCCUGUGAACCUACCUAUUUGCCUCGGCAGGGGCUAUGCUAAGUCCUAGGGCUUAUAGCGUAAGCUUUACCCCAAGGCCUAUGGAUAGCCCCUGCCAGAGGACCCUAAAACCUAUUUUUGAGACAUUUUAGUGGAAUAUAAAGCAUUAAAACUUUUAGCAACGGAUCUCUUGGCUCUAGCAUCGAUGAAGAACGCAGCGAAAUGCGAAAAGUAAUGCGAAUUGCAGAUUAGUGAGUCAUCGAAUCUUUGAACGCACAUUGCGCCCGCUAGCAACUAUAGCAGGCAUGCCUGUCCGAGCGUUAUCACACUACUAGACAGCAGUCUAUGUUGGAGCCUGGUAGUGGCCAGCUCUGAAAUAUAGUGGAAGUAAGCCCUCUAUAUGCUUGUAAAGUAAACUACUUGCAUUGCUUAUAGUAGGUGCUAGGUGCCGUAACCUUGGGUUUAACCUCGGAUCAGGUAGGAAUACCCGCUGAACUUAAGCAUAUCAAU